AUUGGGCCAAUUUCUGAAAAUCCAAUGGCCCACCCUUUCUUUUGUUUCCUCCUAUCCGACCCAAUUCCAAAAUAAUACCCAAACCCAAAUCCUUUAAGAUUUUCAGCAGCCCAUAAUAUCUCUAAGCCCAAUCCCAACUCCUCCAACCCGACCCAAAUUCCUGUCUUCCAAAAGGAGCCCGUACGCUGCAACUUUAGCCAUCAACGUACAAAGGCGCACUGGAUGGAGAGCAUAAGGCAACCUGCUCCUCUUUGUCGUCUUCUUCCUUGUCUCUCUCGGUUGCAGGCAGCAAAUCACGCGUGUUUGUCCUUGGAGGCCUUGAGAUCGAGACACGUCUCGUCCCAAGGACAUCCGAGCCGAUCCGAGCCAUCGACCCUCUUUUCCUCUUUCGGAAUGGAACAAGUUUGAAGGAAAAGGUGUUUCUUCAAAAGAGGAAAAGGAUUCAAUUUCAAUGGGAGAUUGGCUUCGAAGCGAUUUCGAUCCGGAUUUUUCCCUCUCCAACAAAACCUAAUCCCCUUUAUAUAUACUCUCUACGAUUUUCUUUGAAAAAAAAUAAAAAUUAGUGAGGCAGAGGUUAGAAAGAAAUCUGGAAAAUUUAGAUUCAAGAAAGUGUGGAAUUUCUUUGGAACAAUCACACUCACACCAAAGAAAUUUCACACGUUUUCUCUAAUCCUAAGUCGUGAGAAAAUCUCCUCGAGUUUGGUUUGCAUUUGGUGGUCAGUCGCUCGAGAUUCAAACCCUAGAUUGGCGCUCACCGUUCUCCCAAGUGCAUGAUUUUUUUCGUCAUUCUCUUAAAGUCUUCUACAAAGGAUUAUUGCUACUCUUCAAAAUUCCUUAAGAGUUUGUUGCGCCAAGUACCCCUUCAUGGAGCUUCCUUUUUAUUUGUAAAAUAUGUAAAGGAGGUGGGUUUCUAGAUUAUAAACUAACCCACUUCAGCCAAAAAUGAUUUUUUUCUAAUGGGAGGUUGGUGUUGGAGGUUUCUUCGUAUUUAACUAUUUUUAGUGGUAAAUAUCUCAUAGAUUGUAGUCCUAUUUUUUCUGGAAAAGGUAUAAUCACGAUUCUGUAAGAGAAAUUACCAUCCCAAGUUUAUGCAUGCCAAAGAAAACAAAGAAAUUAAUCUUAGUUUCUUUUUGUUUCAAUAUAUUGAUAAUUCAACAUCACUUGGGUGGGAUAUUGACACUUCAUGUGACUGCACAUAUUCAAGGUUCAAGGAACAAGGAACAAGGAAAAACUUUCUCUGCUUAUCAUAUUUAAGGAUCAAGGGAGAACUGCUUGGGAAUGAGGGGUUGGAUCGAUGAGGUAUUUCAAAUCUCUUUCACUUCAUGAUAGUCCACUCAGUUUAUUUCAAUGAAUUGUUAUGCUUCAAUUGAAUGAUUUGUCCAAUUUCAUUACUGUGUAUUUUGCUCAUUGAAAUAGAUACUGGUUUUUUCUUAAAACAAUAUAAGACGAUGAAAGUAAUGGACUUGUAUAUAUGAUACAAACUAGUUAUGGUUAAGUCUUUGUUAUUAAUAAAAACUUGCAUUAGCUAUGAUGCAAGUUAGCAGUUUCUACAUCAAUGUUGUAGAGAUAUGUAUUAGAUUAAGGAACUCUAGUUUUAUUGAACCUUUAAUUACGUUAUAAUUUUCCUUCCAGGCACACCAUAGUGUGCUAGAACAACUGUUGUUUGUCUUAAAGUUGCAGUAGUGGUUUCAAAAUUUGUAUGUUCAUUCCCUUGCUAAUAUCUGUUAGUUCCAGUUGUAACUUAUCAUCUUUAUUUGGUUACAGUGUCCAAAAAUUGUUGUCCUUUUCUUUAGUAACCAUCCAUUUAUGCGGGAUAGGGUGCCUGCAAGAGGGUUAGUCCCUCUACCAUAUCUGUUGAUCAAUUUUAACUUGAUAAGUUGUGUCGCUGCAAUUAAAUUCAUGCUUGAUCCACAUGUAUUUUACUGAAUUUUUUAGUGCAUAUCCUUUAGUAUGAUCUAAUCAAGUUAUGUGCUAAGUGCUUGUUUAAGUCCUUACAUUUGUCUAUGAUUUUUGGGGAUAUAAUUAAGUAAAUAAAAGUGUAAUCUCUUGAUAUCUUUAGAUUUUGAGAAGAGAUGGUCACACUUCAACGUGGUAAUAGAUCAGGCAGAGAUAUUGGUGAGAUUAUCACAUGUUCUCCCCCGAAAACCUAUCCUUGUGUUUCAUUCAUGGACUAUUUAUGAUGUUUAAACAAAUAAAUAAAGUUUAUGUUUCAUUCAUGGACUAUUUAGGAUGUUUAAACAAAGCUCGUUACCUUUCCGAUACAAACCAGUCAGAUAAACACUUAACUCAUAUAAAAAAAGUUGUCUUUUGGUGAGGUUAUCAUGUCUUCUCUAGGGUGAAAAAUUUAUCCUCUUGUUUAAUUCAUGAAGUGAUGAGAUGGUGCUUUUCCAAUACGGAGCACUUGUUACAUAGCUAUAAGUAUUGAACAAUGAUAUGUUAGAGCUAUAGUAGUAUGAGAUCCUUCUAAAGAACUAAGCUUUCUGUGUUGGCAGCUUGAUUUGUAAUGUUUGUUACUGGUAAUUAAAUAAAACCGUUAGUUACCAAAAAAAAUAAAAAAAAAUACAGAGCACUUGAGGAAGAAGGAUUAUACUUGUAAUUACGUACAGUAUACAUUUGGCUAGUUUGCAGCUUCAUGUAUUCAAAUAUUAAAUAGGUUUGGUAAGUCCAUCCCGAUCAAAAUUGAAAUAUUUUGUUUGAUAUGAGUUGUUUGAUGAAAGAAUCAACCUUGUUCUUUUGUAACACCAAUGAAAUUUCAUGACAUCUUUCUUUAUAGUCAAUAUUAGAGGAUAGUUUAAUUUUUGAAGUUUAGCUAAGUUAUAAAUGACGAUUAUGAUUAUUGUGUUAAGUAUUGUUUGUUGGUGCUAGUUUGUUGCUUCCACAUAUGUUGAAGCUGGUGAUAUAUAUUUGCUUUCAUGUUAUCUGUAUAUGAAUAAUUGAAUAUCACCUUUUUGAAUUAUACAAAUUAUAUAGAAAAGUAAUAGCUUCUAUGAGUUCUUAUUUUUGUUUAAAUUAAUUUCAUACUGUCGUUUUCCCUCUUUCUUGUUUGCGAAGUGUUUGCGCCAAUUUCUAUAUUCUACGGAAUUCAUUUACUUAUCUAAUAUAUACAAUGAAGUUUGAGAAGAGAAACAAACAAUUGGACCAGAACAUAUGCUUAAGGCUUUACUAGGCUUGACCUGACCCUGCAAUUUUGCUUUACCAUAGUUUUGUUUUCCAUUUCUUUGUUAGCACUUCUUUUCCUCUGUAUUACUGUGCCCAAUCAAUGAAGAUGCAAAUAUUCUUCAUGAUUUUUACUGGUAUUUACAUUAGUGUAGAUUAUAAUUUCUCUCUGGUUCUCAAGAAACAUAUGCACCACAAAGCCAAUUGAACCAGUUUUAAACUGUAAUAUAUAAUAGUAAAACAAUUAUUCUCUGACCAGUCAAAAUCUUCCUAUUUGCUCUGUUAUGGCUUUCAUGUUUACUUAGAUAUUUCCAAAGAAACUUUUCUUAGAAGACAUCUUCAUUGAAGUUCUUAGGUUAAACAUGUAAGUCUUUAAUAUGGAAGUUUGUGGAAAAGAGUGACUGUUGCAUUAAGUUGUUAAUUAGUUUAGCUUAAAUACUAAUUAGUUACAGAGUCUGUUAGAUAAAACUUACCGUCAGUUAGUUAGCUUUGUAAAUGAAGUAGUCGACUAGUGACAUGUAUAUAUAGACAUAGUUGUAUCAAUGAAAGGCAAUGCAGUUCCACAAAACUUCACUUGCUCUCCUCAUCUAAUAUCAAUGUAACAAUGUCCACUGUAGCUUGCUUAAUACUUUCAACAAAAUUGAUUACACCUAUACAUGUUGACUUUAAUUGCUUAAUAUUCAUGUAGUCUAAUACUUGAAAAUUGCUAUUCUAAGAAACAUUACACCUCUUCCAUGUUGACUUCAAGUGUCUAGCGAAUGAUAAAAGUAAACUUAAAAGCACUUAUUUAAGCAUUUACCAUUUCAACAAUUAUAAUGUUUGGGCCCUCUAGUAUAUAUAUAAAAAUGAGUAUCAUACAAAAGGUUGGUGAUUAGGCAACUCUUUAUAAUCUCUAUUUCCAUAUUUCCUCCCGUUUUUCUCUCUUUUUCUAGUUUCAUUUUUUAAAAUCAUUUUCAUAUUAAAAUGAUUAAUUUAUUAUGGAAGUAUUAUUUAAUUUACGGAAAAGGGCUUAAAAUACUUUUGAACUAUUAGAGAAAUGGUCCAAAACUAUUCUUCGUCCACCAAUUAGCUUACAAUUUUAAACUCCUAUAAUUCCCCCCUUUUUUUUAGGAGAAAUAAGAAAAAGAUGUCGGAUAAUAGAAACGCCACCCUUGAAGAGAGAUGGGAAAUGCGUAAGUUAGCUUAAUUUGGGGUGGUCGAUUUGGUGAGAGCAAUGGUGAGUAAUUAAUUAGUUUAGAUUAAUUAUCGCAUAACCAAUAGAUAAGUGACGCGUUAAUAAUGAAUUUAUUAGUGGG